rnacentral:rRNA from 1 species
UGGUGGAGUGAUUUGUCUGGUUAAUUCCGAUAACGAACGAGACCCCGUCCUACUUACUAGACUUGAGAUGAUUUUCAUCUCUUGAAUCUUCUUAGAGGGACAACUGGCGUGAAUCUAGCUACAUGAAAUGGGGCAAUAACA